GUGAGUCAGCCAAGGGAACCCAGCACAUUUCCCAGGGGAAAAGGCUCAGGAGAAAGACAGGCCAACCACUAAUGAGGCAUUCCCAGGAAACACAGAAGGGAGGGAGAUCAAAGUGGAGCAGCUGGAAACCAACGGCCAGAUUUUUAACACAGUUCGGAAACAGAUGAGCAUUUAACCUCCUGAGACCAAACAUAUGUUACUAUGAAGUAGCAAACUUGCGUGUUUGUUGCCCAUUUCAUGGCUGGAAGCUGAAGAUGUUUUGGCAUCACUAGUUAAAGUUUGAUAAAGCUUCCUGAGCUCAGCAUGUCCCGCUGUUGUUCGGGAGAGAUACCGGCUCAGCUGGCUGCUUUUCCAGGCAGCACUGCUCUCCCCAGGCCUCCCCCUGCAGACACCAACUUCUGUGUGAUAAGGAGAAGUUUUCAGCUCUGAACACUCAUCAAAAA